GAGAUUGUUCUGUUCAAUCGAAAUAGGUUAGGAAAUACGUGAUACAAAAUAUCAACAUUAUAUAAUAGUGCUGUUUUGGUGAUUAUGCAAAACAGUCAACGAAACGGUUUUAUAAGUUUUUUUAGGCCAGGUCAAUAACAUCCGAAGAUAAUGUUUCAAGCUCGUUACAAGAUAAACGUUUAUCUGACUCAACGAACAAUUUCAAUACUUAUGUGUACUAGAUUGCAUUUAUAUUUUAUUUUAAAUUAAAUACGUGUAUAUAAUAUAAUGUUGUUAGUGGUACGAUAGGUGAGAGUAACAGCCGUAAAUCGGAAUUAUGGGCGCUUCUGUUUUGCCAAAAGAAAUUCAAAGUAGCUUACAAAAUUUGAUAGAGCAGAAAUUAGAAAUUAAGGAUUAUGACUUGAGCUUUUCAAAAGGUUCAUCCAAAGGCGACAAUUAUUUAGGUGUAUUGACCAGAGUAACAGUGACAGAAAAGAAUGAUAAAGUAGCGAAUCCUAGAAUUUUCAAUUUAAUAAUAAAAAGUGCGCCACAAUCUGAAGAAUUCAGAAAAUAUAUUAAAAUAGAAAUUCUACAUGGACGAGAAGUUUGCAUGUACGAACAAGUUUUUCCGGAAUUGAAGAGAUUUCAAGAAGAAGUUGGAUUAGAAGAUAUUUUCUAUCCAGUACCAAAAUGUUACAAAACAUCUAAUGUUGCUCCAUAUGAACAUUUAAUUUUAGAGGACAUGACGGCUAAUGGAUAUGAAAUGAAGAAUAGGAAAAUUGUUACAGAUUUAAACCAUUCCAUGGAAGUUUUGAAAGCAUACGGAAAGUAUCACGCUUUAUGUUUAGCACUAAAAAUCAAAGAACCAGAAGUAUUUGAUAACUUAGUAGAACUCACGAAAGAAACUUAUUUUGCAAAUGUUAAUUUGGAAAAUUUAUGUGGAACCAUUAAAGCCGUCAUUGACAAGGUGACUCAAAAAUUGGAUCAAGAUAAAGAUAGAAAACUAAUAAAAAAACUUGAUGAGUUUAUCAAAUUUCCUGUAAAUGGUUUGUUGGAAAAUUUGUCUAUUAAAGCAGCUAACGGCGACGCAGUAUUUUCCCAUGGAGAUAGUUGGAUAAAUAAUAUUCUGUUUAAAUACGAGGACAACAGUUCGUGGCCUUCAAAAAUUUGCUUUCUGGAUUGGCAACUAAGCCGAUGUGCUUCGCCAGCAAUAGAUAUAUCGUAUUUCAUUUUUUCCUGCACAGAUAAAAUGUUAAGAGCACAUCAUUACGAGGAUUUACUGAAUGCCUAUCAUUCUAGUCUUUUAUCCUUUUUAAAGCAGUUGGGAUGUGAUUUGGACAUAUUUUCAAAAGAAAAAUUAUUAGAUAACAUGAAAAGAUUCUCUAAAUAUGGUUUGAUGAUGUGUCUUAUCACUAUUCCAUUGGCAGCUGCGGAAAUGGAUGAAAUACCUGACUGGACAAACGAUAUGAAAGAAGAAGAACGCACCAAAAUGUUUUCCCAAGAAAGAAAAAGUGAGAAAUACAUAAUCAAUAAAUUAAUUGAUGUCGUAAGGGAUUUUGAUAAAUUGGAAUAUAUUUAAUGUUAUUUUAAGACCUUGGAAAUCGGGAUUGGACGUCACUGAGAAUAAUUUUAUACGACUCUAGAUCAGCACUUUAUAACUGCAACAAAAGCGACUCAUCUCAAAAGAAUGGGAAGUUCUAUUUUAUGUGACAUCAAAACUCUAAGUAUAUUGUUGGAACUGAGUAUUAUGUAUAUGGUGAAAUUUGUAAAGAAAAACUUAACGAUUAGCCAAAAAUUCAGGUCCCAAUGAUAAAUUGCCGGAGCCUGCAGGAAGGAUGAACCGACGUUCUUACGAGAAGGGGACGUAUUUGAUGCAUGUGCCUUUAAAAUUGCUGGAAAUAUUGCUGGUAUCAAUCUGGUUGACCUCUUCAAAAAGUAUAGAAAUAUUAGACCUCCUACUGUAAAGUACGACAGAUUGUUUGUGCGGUAUUAAGUAUAAUGGAAAAUGUGGCAUACAACCCGUGGGCAUAAAUACCUUGGAAAAUUACCAGCAAAUAUUGCUCAGUACCUGGGUCUACCUAAUGUUUAAAGGGUACACAGGACAUUUUUUCUGACGCUCCCUCGGCUCAGGCUGACUCAGGAGCGGACAUUCUGACAAUAAAGCAAUUCGGAAGAUAGAAAUCUAACAGUGUAGCCGAAGGCUACGUUGAUAGUUUUUCAGAAAACAUUCUGGGCCAUGUGGCUGGCAUACAUGUAGAUAUCACAGCUUCGAAUGAAAUUAGCAUUAGACCAGAGAAUAUUGACCUAGAAAAUGGACUUAAUUUAAAUAAUUGUGUCUUUAACAAUAUUGUUUUCAAUGUUUAUAAAUCUUAAAAUACUUUUGAAAUAGUCAAGAGUCAGUUUAAAUAAUUAAAAAAUUGUCAGUUUUUACAAUAACUAAUCAAUUAUUGUUUGAAACUUAAACAGUUACGUAAAACUUUCACAUAACUACUUUUCAUAACUGCCCAAUAAACAUUUUCUGUAACUUAUGGUGAUUCCUAGUUAUAUAAAGACUAUAUAAAGGUAAUGAAAUUAUAUAAAAAGGUUAUGAAGUUUUAGUAACUUUAGUAACACAGUUAUAUUACGGUUUUAUAAAAUUUCUGUAACUUGUGGGUAUAUAAAGAAGUGGUAUAACUGUUUCCAUCACCAUUUAAUAAAACAUGUAGUAACUGUUACCAAUAUGUGUUUAUAACAAAUUUAUAUAAGGUUUUCCGUUACCUAAAUUAUAUAACUAUAUAGGCUCUGAGUUAUAUAAUAGUGUUUCUAAACACAAUUAAAAAAAUUGGGGAUUAUUAGUGUUUGUAUAUCCUAUUAAAAAACUUUUGGUAACCAAGUUAGGGACAACCAUUUCUUUUAUAUAUGAUUGAAAAAUGGUUGCCGGUGUCGAUUGUCGAAUAAAAAUAUAUUAUUAAGAUACAAAGUUAAUAAUAUACUAACAGUACUAACACCGGUUGUUUGUGAGCAGUGAGCAGCAGCAGUGUAAUAAACAUUGGAAAUUGGAAAAAAAUAAAGCACAGCUCUGCGUUUCGGCGGAAAGUGACAAAAAAUUUUAAACGAAUCGUAGAUUGUGUAUCGGUUACUGCUACUGUUAGACAGAUAAAUAAUGAAUUUUUUCCGCCACCAGAUAUUCCUCAAAUUACAGAACAAAAUGAUAGCAGUCCAACGCCAACGACGGCAGAAAAUGAUCUUACUACUACUACAUUUAGGCUGCUCCUCAACUAUUACUUUUAGAUCAUUAUUAUUUUCAUUUCUUUGCUGUGUUUGUUGACCAAAAACUGCCUCUGUGGCCUUCUGUAAAAAUAUUGGUAUAUAUUAAGCCCUAAGUGUAGGUAAAUUGUUUUAGUAAACAUCUAAGAAACUUAAAUAUUUGGUAGGUUUAGAGAUCCGCACAUGCAAGUAACCACUUUUAAGUAGGUAAUAGAGUAAAGUUAAAUUAAGGUUAUGUUUUAUAUCAUGUGUUAAACCAUUGUCAAUUAAAAUGUUCUUUAAAACUCAGCUGCUCACACGUCAGUUAUUGAAAACGCGAUGCGCGGGUUGCCUAACUUUAAGUAUAUAACAACACUUUCAGUAACGGAUGUUACUUUUAAUAAUAUACGAGAUCCUUGGAGGCUUUAAGUUUUAUUUUAACACUACUAGUAACUCUUAAACACUACUAUAUAACCCACAAAGUUAUAUAUCAUUACUAUCGGUUAUAUAAGAUCACAACAAGUGAUUUUUAGGUUUCCAUUAUUUGUAAAAUUACUAUACAAUGAUUCCGCCAUGAUUGUUUACUCAAAUGAAAAGGAACGAUUCAUUAUGCCUUCAAAAAACGAAAAUUAAACUUAUUUGAACAGCAUGGAAUCCAAAAUUAAUAUCACCCUGUUAAAUACUGGUUAUACGAAUAUCUUUGGCCACAUUAUUUAGCGUCUAUUUAAAAAUAAAAUAAAAAAUAAUUUGUUUUUAUGAAAUAAAAUCAUUUAUUGUUGGAUAUUUGAAAGGCCCGUGCGUUUUUUCAAGGCAUCUUGUCCAUGUUAGCAGUAAAAACCGUUUCCCUCAUGAAAUGUAAGUCACUGCAAUGCUAAAAUCGCCUAAUUAAGAUAAAUUUUAUACGGCAUUAUAGGUAACGUGUAUAUAAUAUAUAUUUAUCUGCCAUCUUAUAAAUUUUUAUUUUGCUGAUAACAAUCGAACACAACCCAAUAAGAAAAAGAGCGAUGUAAUAAAGUUAACAAGUCCAAGUGAGAGAAAACAUAUAUUUGACAGGGAGAAGAGUAACAGAAAUAUUAUGAAAACCAUUAUAGGCAAUGUUUAUAAGGGUAACAGUAACAUAUAUAACGCGACAUUUGACCUCUAAAAAAGGCUCCAAGCGUGGAUUUUUAAGUAGUUAUAUAGUGGUUGCCAAAAUGUUUCCGUUACUUUUGGUUAAAACACCUAAGUUUAUAUAGCGUUACUAACCUAAGUUUUCCGUAACCUUUAUAUACUCCCCAUUUAAGCUCUUUAAGGGGUUUAUACGAGUAACAGAAAUAUUACGGUUACUAUCAUAUAUACAUUUAAGUUAUUUAAUGAGGUGAUAUAAUAUUUACGGCAACUGUUAUAUAACAAAAAAUGUUUAUUGGGUGAUAUAUGAAUGUUAUAGAAAAUGUGACGUUUCCUGAUGUAAGAAUGACUUAAAGUGUCACAUUUGAUACAGGGAUUAGAUAAAAUACUAUUGUUUAAUAGAUCACCUACAUCAUGAAUAUCAAAAUAGAAAUCUGUUUUAACCACAAUAAUUUUUUUUAAAACGGUCUAGAAAUUAGUACUUUCCGGUUUAUUUUUAGGUCAGAAAGUCUCGUUUUGUCGGACCAAGCUAGAAAGGACUCAUAAUUUUAUUUACUUUAAUGAAAAAAAUAAUAAAAUAGUCUAAGAUAGUGUCAAUUGGUUUCUAUAGUAACCGAGUUUUGUAUUAUUUAAAACUAUACAAUAACUUGACAUAUUUUGACGUUUAGUUGAAAACGUGACAUUUAUUAUAAAGUGGACAUUCAAAAUGAUGCAUUUGAUUGUGUUUAUGGUACAACAAUUCCCAUUUAAAAAAAAUAUUGUACGUAAGUAAAAAUAUUGUCCCGAAAGUGGUUUUAAUAAAACUUCUAAUUUUCAAAUAAAAA